ACGCCAGUAGCCCAAUUGGUAGAGUAGCGGUCUCCAAAACCGUCGGUUGGGGGUUCGAGUCCCUCCUGGCGUG
rnacentral:tRNA from 1 species